rnacentral:rRNA from 2 species
ACGGUACCAUCAAAAGGUAGCACCCGGGGUAAUCUCCGUGCCACGCACCGCGUGUAAUAUCGGUAGUGGUGCCAAAGACGUUUGUUCGGAAUUACUGGGCGUAAAGCGCGUGUAGACGGCUGUGUAAGUCGGAUGUGAAAGCCCUCGGCUCAUACUGAGGAUAGUGCAUCCGAUACUGCAUAGCUUGAGUCUCGGAGAGUGUUUGUGGAAUUCCCGGUGUAGAGGGUGAGAAUUCGUAGAUAUCGGGAGGGAACACCAGUGGCGAAGGCGACAACUCUGGACGUAUGUACUGACGCUGUAGUACGCGAAAGCGUGGGGAGCAAACAGGAUUAGAUACCCCUGGUAUUCCACGCCGUAAACGGUGUCAACUAGGUGUUGUGGGUAUUGACCCCCGCAGUGCCGCAGCUAACGCAUUUAAGUUGACCGCCUGGGGAGUACGGGCGCAAGCUUAAAACUUCAAAUGAAUUGACGGA